rnacentral:rRNA from 1 species
CAUGUCUUUUUGAUUUAUAAUUUAAAGUUUAAUCUGCCCAGUGAUGUUCAUUUAACGGCCGCAGUAUUGUGACUGUGCAAAGGUAGCGUGAUAAUUAGUUUUUUAAUUGAAAACUGGUAUGAAGGAUUGGACGAGGAGAAUUCUGUCUCAAUAAAAUUGUUAUAAAAUUUAAUUUUUAAGUUAAAAAGCUGAGAUAUUUUUAGAGGACGAGAAGACCCUAUAGAGUUUUAAAUUUUAAAAAUUUAUUAAUAUUGGUUAAAAUUAUUUUGUAUAUUUUCAUUAAAAUUUUAGGUUGGGGUGAUUUAAAGAUUUAAGUAACUCUUUAUAAAUUUAACAAUGAUUUUUGAAUUUAGGAGCCAUAAGUGUAAGUGAUUUUAAGAUUAAAUUACCUUAGGGAUAACAGCGUAAUUUCUUAUAAAGUUCAUAUUGGAUUAGAAGUUUGCGACCUCGAUGUUGGAUUAAAAUUAAAUUAUGGUGCAGAAGCUAUAAGAUUAAGUCUGUUCGACUUUUAAAAUUUUACAUGAUCUGAGU